UUCAUUUGGAUACCCUACAAUAAUAUCUGUAGUUAAUGCUACAUUAGGAAUUCUAUCUUUGAUUCGUUUUACUAAAUCCAAAUAACUUUCUCGUGUAUAUUUUCUACCCAUUAUUUUUAAUACUGCAUUAUUUCCAGAUUGAACUGGCAAGUGGAUAUGCGGAACGAUAUUACCACCCUCUGA
rnacentral:sRNA from 1 species